rnacentral:rRNA from 1 species
AACGAACGCUGGCGGCAUGCCUAACACAUGCAAGUCGAACGAGACCUUCGGGUCUAGUGGCGCACGGGUGCGUAACGCGUGGGAACCUGCCCUUAGGUUCGGAAUAACUCCCCGAAAGGGGUGCUAAUACCGGAUAAUGUCUUCGGACCAAAGAUUUAUCGCCUUUGGAUGGGCCCGCGUUGGAUUAGCUAGUUGGUAGGGUAAAAGCCUACCAAGGCGACGAUCCAUAGCUGGUCUGAGAGGAUGAUCAGCCCCACUGGGACUGAGACACGGCCCAGACUCCUACGGGAGGCAGCAGUGGGGAAUAUUGGACAAUGGGCGAAAGCCUGAUCCGGCAAUGCCGCGUGAGUGAUGAAGGCCUUAGGGUUGUAAAGCUCUUUUACCCGGGAUGAUAAUGACAGUACCGGGAGAAUAAGCGCCGGCUAACUCCGUG